GCUGGCCCCCUCGGGGUCCGCAUUGUAAUUUGUAGAGGAUGCUUCGGGAGCGGUCCCCAUCUAAGUGCCCUGGAACGGGCCGUCAUAGAGGGUGAGAAUCCCGUAUGGGAUGGGGUGCCCGCGCCCGUGUGAAGCUCCUUCGACGAGUCGAGUUGUUUGGGAAUGCAGCUCUAAUUGGGUGGUAAAUUUCAUCUAAAGCUAAAUAUUGGCCGGAGACCGAUAGCGCACAAGUAGAGUGAUCGAAAGAUGAAAAGCACUUUGAAAAGAGAGUUAAACAGCACGUGAAAUUGUUGAAAGGGAAGCGCUUGCGAUCAGACUCGCUCGCGGGGUUCAGCCGGCCUUCGGGCCGGUGUACUUCCCCGCGGGCGGGCCAGCGUCGGUUUGGGCGGCCGGUCAAAGGCCCCUGGAAUGUAACGCCUCUCGGGGCGUCUUAUAGCCAGGGGUGCCAUGCGGCCUGCCCGGACCGAGGAACGCGCUUCGGCUCGGACGCUGGCAUAAUGGUCGUAAGCGA
rnacentral:rRNA from 1 species